ensembl:lncRNA
AAUCAAAAAAGCAAUGGUGUUACAGCAGACUUCUGAGAUAGUUCUGCAUUGUCUCAUCCAAACAGCUUUCCUUUUCCUUUUCCUUUCUGAAUGCUCUUCCCUAUGGGUCGCGUGCCAGCAGAGCGUGCAGCCACCUUCGCUGCUGCCAGGAUGUGUCAGACCAGCUUCACUGCCCUGGUUUUGGCCCUGCUCUGUACAAUAAAGCAAAGCUGGGGUCAUGUCCUGGGGAACUGCAAGCUUCCAGGAGGGCUCAGACAUGGUGCUGGAGGAGGGGGAUCUGAGAGCACGCAGCCAGCUCAGGUGGUGCAGGAUAUGUCCAACUGGCCGCACGGCUCCAUCCCAUCUGUGCAAGGCACAAGUGCUUGGCCUGGCACAGCCCGGGGGCACUGGGCUGGCUGCGAUGUUCUUUUGAUCUCCACGACUGUAGGAGCCAUGUCUGUGAGUUCCAGAAGUCUCAUUGCUUGGCGUGAGUCACUGGGAGCUGUGGUCAAGGGGACAACACCCUGCAAUUGCAACCCAUGGGAACAGAAGAUUUUGUGGAAGCACAUGCAUCGUGGUAUGCUCGUUAAAGCCAUUGUGCAGUUGGAAGAGGUGCUGAAAGGGAAGAAAUGCCACGGUGUGGCAGCCCUGACCCCAGCCUGUCUUAGAAAGCAGCUGUGCAUUGAACAGGAUUGAAUGUCGGCAUGAAAUUGGACUUGGCCAUGCCCUGCUCAGCAGAGCGGAUCAGCAGCACAGCCCUGUGAUUUCUAAAACUGCUAUGAUGUGUAUAUAUAUACAUCACCUUGUGGUUCUUUGGGCUUACUGCAUGGAAACUACCCAGCUGCAGCCAGAGGUCCCCACCCAGGGGGUAGUCCCAACCUGCCAGCUCCUGCAGAUCAGGGCUCUCUGCCCUUUCUCUUUGGAUCCAGCCAAGGUCAGGGGCUGGGGCUCUGAGCACCUGAUGGAGCUGUGGGUGUCCCUGUGUACUGCAGGGGGUUGGACCAGAUGGCCUUCAGAGGUCCCUUCCAACAUUAACCAUUCUGUGAUUUUAUGAUUCUUUGCUCCUCACAGCUCAUGGCACAAGGAGGGUGGAAACUCUCCAUUCACUUUCCCUGUUACAACUUUCAUCAGAUCCUGGUGAGAGAAGAGUUUGAAGUGAGGGCAUGAGUAUGUGUUGGUACCUAGCAGCAAAACGCCUUGAGAAAGGCUUUGGAAACUGUGCCUGGGGGUGGGAGGUCAUGGGAGAAGGGCUCCUCAAGAGCAGCAGGAACAGGAAGCAAAAGUUUCUGGGGUAGUUAUGGACAAUGAACUUCUCCAUUCAGUGCAUGAGGCACAGAGCAGAAACAUCAGCAUUUCCACCUCUGUUUGUGAGGGUAGCCUAAAGAUGCUGACACUGUGAGCAGUCCGUUUCCCCAGAUUAGCAUCCCAUCAGAUUUGUGCUCUGAGGACACACUCCAACUUGUUUAUGAGAGUUACACCUGGCUGUAAAUGUGCAGCUCUGCUGUGGGCAAGCCCAGCCAGUGGGCCUCUCCUCCAGGCCUCAGCCCCAGCAUGGUCAGUAGCUUGUGAUGACAACAGGGACAGACUCCCUUGCCUUAAAAAAUCACCUUUCACUUUCCUACAUGUGCACUCCCAGAUGUACUUUUCAAUGGGAAAGAGGGCUCUCCCACUUUUUUUUGCUAGAUAAGCUUGCUCAGAACUAAGGGAUACGUUCAAACUUGUUUGAGAAAUGGGGUGAUCCUCUGUGUUGCAAGGUGAGCCUGGAAAACAGCAGAAAUCACAAGAACAGAGGCAGAGGUCAGGAGGUUUUGUUUUAUGAAAACCAACCUUGAUAGACAAUGUUUCUAUGAUUUCUCUAUUGAAUUCUCUAUUGAAAUUGACUGGUGGAUGUGGCAUUGAGGGACAUGGUCAGUGGGCAUGGUGGGGAUGGGUUGGGCUUGAUGGUCUUAGAGGUCUUUUCCAACCUUAGUGUUUCUAUGAUUCUAUGAUCUUGAAUCAUGAGAAUUAAAGUCCAGCCUUGGUUUUAUAAAUUAUUUAUUCUGAUUGCUCUUUUUUCCAAGUAUAAUUGCCCACGAUAACAUAAUUAGUUGCUGGAGAGUGACUCAUGAUGGCAAAACACGUUGGAUUUCCCUCUCCACCUCACCUGAUAGCACUGAAAAUACGUUGUGAAGACACAGCCUUCAGGGAUCAUCUGGGACUUUGUGGACGCUGCAGGGAAACAUUGACUCCAGGUGGCUGUCGGUAGGGAACAGUGCUACAGAGCAUUCCCCAAGGAACAAAGAUCUUGUUUUCCCGACAUUUCUUAGAAAUUGUUUAAAAUACAUAAAAAGGAAGGAAGGGAGUAUAAUUAUGCAGAGAUCUAGCUGUGUGUAAUUGCAGUUCAGAGCAUCUCACGGGGCCUAAAAAGGCCAUGGAGGGCAGCGUGUUUAACCCGGAGCAGGAAUGAGGGGUGUGUGUGAAUAUUCCCAAAGUCACAGGUUUCCCUCAGUCAGCUGUUCUGCUCCGGGAGGAUUUUACAAUGAAAAAUCAGUGAGAUUCCAACGCGACCUGAGCAGAGGUUCUCUGAUCCAUCCAGAGCCCACAUGCACCUCGUGGAAGGAAAUCUGUGGAUGUGUGUUAAGGGAGUCCCUCCCUUAAUUAUCAACAUGUGGUCUUACCGGUGUAUAAUCAAUCACCCAUUGGAAAUCUUUAACCUGCUUGGCUCCAAAUCAUAAGUGUAGCUUGGAAGGCUCUGUUUUGUAUUUUACUAUUACAUUACAUAUGGUUUCUCUUACUAUUAAAUUUGUAUUUUACUAUGAUUACUAUGGUUUCACUUCAAAGGAUAUUCCCACAACUGCUUGUUAGAGAUGCUUCCGAAAGUUAUAACCAACGCUGGAAGAGAAAACCUUGUCCCGAAACGCACUAUUUUCACGUUUAACUCACGCUUCAUUACAUCAACUUGUUGGCAGUAACACUGCUGAGCAUGAAGUGCAUGGACUGAAGCCCAUCCGAGGCUUCGUGCAGCGUCAGGAGGGCGGUGCGGAGAGCUGUGCUCCUCCAGCACACACACCGGCUGCACACAUUGGGAUAAGUGCUGUGUGAAGCAGCGUGCUGUGUCCCAGAAGGUACGUGCACAUGUUCUGUGGAUGGUUUAAUAAACGGGCUGUGCAUUCGCA